UGUAACUUAUUGCAGACGACCUUCCUGUUGUAAAUGAUGUGGAUGUAGUGGCUGUUGGCAAAACAACAAAUGAGAAUACAGAUGAUCCACUUCUUCCCUGUGUACCCCAAAAAUUCAGAAGAAUCCAGCAUCUGAAAGAGAGGCUAUCUUCAUCCUUCCAACUCCAAACAGGCCCUCUGGAUCCUUUGCAUUCAGCCCAAGGAAUACUUCCGAAACCCUGUCACACAGCCGAAGUUGGACAUCUAAGUCAUUCUCACGCAGUCGGAGGAGAAGCUCCAAUGAGUCCCUGUUACACAGUCAGAGAAG